rnacentral:rRNA from 1 species
UACGUAGGGUGCGAGCGUUGUCCGGAAUUAUUGGGCGUAAAGAGCUCGUAGGCGGCUUGUCGCGUCGGAUGUGAAAGCCCCGGGGGCUUUAACCCUGGGUCUGCAUUCGAUACGGGCAGGCUAGAGUUCGGUAGGGGAGAUCGGAAUUCCUGGUGUAGCGGUGAAAUGCGCAGAUAUCAGGAGGAACACCGGUGGCGAAGGCGGAUCUCUGGGCCGAUACUGACGCUGAGGAGCGAAAGCGUGGGGAGCGAACAGG